rnacentral:rRNA from 1 species
CCUACGGGAGACAGCAGUGAGGAAUAUUGGUCAAUGGACGAGAGUCUGAACCAGCCAAGUAGCGUGAAGGAUGACUGCCCUAUGGGUUGUAAACUUCUUUUAUAUGGGAAUAAAAUGUUCCACGUGUGGGAUUUUGUAUGUACCAUAUGAAUAAGGAUCGGCUAACUCCGUGCCAGCAGCCGCGGUAAUACGGAGGAUCCGAGCGUUAUCCGGAUUUAUUGGGUUUAAAGGGAGCGUAGGUGGAUUGUUAAGUCAGUUGUGAAAGUUUGCGGCUCAACCGUAAAAUUGCAGUUGAAACUGGCAGUCUUGAGUACAGUAGAGGUGGGCGGAAUUCGUGGUGUAGCGGUGAAAUGCUUAGAUAUCACGAAGAACUCCGAUUGCGAAGGCAGUUCACUGGACUGCAACUGACACUGAGGCUCGAAAGCGUGGGUAUCAAACAGGAUUAGAUACCCGAGUAGUC